UGCCCUACUCUCACAUGGGGAAUCCCCACACUACCAUCGGCGUAACUGCGUUUCACUUCUGAGUUCGGUAUGGAGUCAGGUGGGACCACAGCACUAUUGUUGCCAAGAAAUUCUUUUAUUAAGUUAGUUCACUAAUUUAAUGAACUAAG
rnacentral:rRNA from 1 species